rnacentral:rRNA from 1 species
GAUCAUGGCUCAGGACGAACGCUGGCGGCGCGCCUAACACAUGCAAGUCGAACGAGCGAGAGGGAGUUUACUUUCUCGAACGAGUGGCGAACGGGUGAGUAACGCGUGAGGAACCUGCCUACAAAGGAGGGGACAACAGUUAGGAAACGACUGCUAACUACCGCAUAACGCCCACAGCUCGGCAUCGAGCAGGAAGGGAAAAGGAGCAAUCCGUCUUUGAGAUGGCCUCGCGUCCGAUUAGCUUAGG